rnacentral:rRNA from 1 species
UACAGAGGUCUCAAGCGUUGUUCGGAUUCAUUGGGCGUAAAGGGUGUGUAGGUGGCGCGCUAAGUCGGGUGUGAAAUUUCGGAGCUUAACUGCGAAACUGCAUUCGAUACUGGCGUGCUUGAGGACUGGAGAGGAGACUGGAAUUCAUGGUGUAGCAGUGAAAUGCGUAGAGAUCAUGAGGAAGACCAGUGGCGAAGGCGGGUCUCUGGACAGUUCCUGACACUGAGACGCGAAAGCGUGGGGAGCAAACAGG